rnacentral:rRNA from 1 species
UACGAAGGGGGCUAGCGUUGCUCGGAAUUACUGGGCGUAAAGCGCACGUAGGCGGAUUGUUAAGUCGGGGGUGAAAUCCUGGAGCUCAACUCCAGAACUGCCUUCGAUACUGGCGAUCUCGAGUUCGGGAGAGGUGAGUGGAACUGCGAGUGUAGAGGUGAAAUUCGUAGAUAUUCGCAAGAACACCGGUGGCGAAGGCGGCGACCUGGUCUGAUACUGACGCUGAGGCGCGACAGCGUGGGGAGCAAACAGG